AUUGAACGCUGGCGGCAGGCUUAACACAUGCAAGUCGGGCGGAAACGAUGGUAGCUUGCUACCAGGCGUCGAGCGGCGGACGGGUGAGUAAUGCUUAGGAAUCUGCCUGGUAGUGGGGGAUAGCCCGGGGAAACUCGGAUUAAUACCGCAUACGCCCUACGGGGGAAAGCAGGGGAUCUUCGGACCUUGCGCUAUCAGAUGAGCCUAAGUCGGAUUAGCUGGUUGGUGGGGUAAUGGCCUACCAAGGCGACGAUCCGUAGCUGGUCUGAGAGGAUGAUCAGCCACAUCGGGACUGAGACACGGCCCGAACUCCUACGGGAGGCAGCAGUGGGGAAUAUUGGACAAUGGGCGCAAGCCUGAUCCAGCCAUGCCGCGUGUGUGAAGAAGGCUUUCGGGUUGUAAAGCACUUUCAGCGAGGAGGAAGGCCUUAAGACUAAUACUCUUGAGGAUGA
rnacentral:rRNA from 1 species